GCGGGGAUAGCUCAGUUGGGAGAGCGUCAGACUGAAGUCCAACUUCAAUCAUCAAAUCUGAAGGUCGUGCGUUCAAUCCGCACUCACCGCA